GUCUACGGCCACGCUACUCUGAACAAGCCCGAUCCCGUCUGAUCUCGGAAGCUAAGCAGGGUCGGGCCUGGUUAGUACUUGAAUGGGAGACCACCUAGGAAGACCAGGUGCUGUAGGCA
rnacentral:rRNA from 1 species